GGGUUAAUGACGCCUUGAAUUAUAUAAUUCAUGCCGGUCCCAAGCCCGGAGAAAGUCCGAGGGACCC
ncrna:unclassified sequences type-P1 twister ribozyme